rnacentral:lncRNA from 1 species
GUCCCACUCCAGGAUGAAAAGGAGUCAAGCCUGACUCUGGAUACUCAAGCUUGCUUAGAGCUUUUGAAGAUGGAUGUAAGGGAGUCCAUGGUCAACCAUCUUGUGCGAUCCUUGCUUCAAGGGAACUCUUUGUUCCUGCACGAGUUUUGGAAAAACUACCAAGUAUUUGGGACCACACGGCAGGUGCUGGAUCUGCUGUUGAAAAGAUGUGAUACCCUCAUGGCCUCUACAUACAGCCAAAGCCUCCAUUACUCCAGUGAAAAUGGCGGGCCUCUGGAUCAACUGAAAAGGUGAGUGGGAUUUGGCUCAAGAGGGAAGGUUCCUGUGUCCCUGUGUCCGGACUGCGGAACUGGGGAGCUGAGACAGGGAGGGGGCAAAUACCAGCUCCUGUAUUUGUGUUUCCUGCUGGAGGGCUGAGGUCUGGGGCUUCCCUUGCAGGAGGAGGAAAUAAGAGCUGUGGGUGGGGUCCUCGACCAGGGAACAGGAGGGGCCCGGGGAUUUGAGCCAAGCACUGUGAGGACCCGCUCCACCAGAGCCCAUUCCAGCCCUGUGGGUCCACCCCCCGCCCUCACUGGGACACUGGCUGUUUGGGGAGCAGCAUGCUCCUAUGUGGCCUUGCUACUGUGCUGGUAGUUUCCAGGCGACUUGAUG